GAUGAACGCUGGCGGCGUGCCUAAUACAUGCAAGUCGAGCGAACGGACGAGAAGCUUGCUUCUCUGAUGUUAGCGGCGGACGGGUGAGUAACACGUGGAUAACCUACCUAUAAGACUGGGAUAACUUCGGGAAACCGGAGCUAAUACCGGAUAAUAUUUUGAACCGCAUGGUUCAAAAGUGAAAGACGGUCUUGCUGUCACUUAUAGAUGGAUCCGCGCUGCAUUAGCUAGUUGGUAAGGUAACGGCUUACCAAGGCAACGAUGCAUAGCCGACCUGAGAGGGUGAUCGGCCACACUGGAACUGAGACACGGUCCAGACUCCUACGGGAGGCAGCAGUAGGGAAUCUUCCGCAAUGGGCGAAAGCCUGACGGAGCAACGCCGCGUGAGUGAUGAAGGUCUUCGGAUCGUAAAACUCUGUUAUUAGGGAAGAACAUAUGUGUAAGUAACUGUGCACAUCUUGACGGUACCUAAUCAGAAAGCCACGGCUAACUACGUGCCAGCAGCCGCGGUAAUACGUAGGUGGCAAGCGUUAUCCGGAAUUAUUGGGCGUAAAGCGCGCGUAGGCGGUUUUUUAAGUCUGAUGUGAAAGCCCACGGCUCAACCGUGGAGGGUCAUUGGAAACUGGAAAACUUGAGUGCAGAAGAGGAAAGUGGAACUCCAUGUGUAGCGGUGAAAUGCGCAGAGAUAUGGAGGAACACCAGUGGCGAAGGCGACUUUCUGGUCUGUAACUGACGCUGAUGUGCGAAAGCGUGGGGAUCAAACAGGAUUAGAUACCCUGGUAGUCCACGCCGUAAACGAUGAGUGCUAAGUGUUAGGGGGUUUCCGCCCCUUAGUGCUGCAGCUAACGCAUUAAGCACUCCGCCUGGGGAGUACGACCGCAAGGUUGAAACUCGAAGGAAUUGACGGGGACCCGCACAAGCGGUGGAGCAUGUGGUUUAAUUCGAAGCAACGCGAAGAACCUUACCAAAUCUUGACAUCCUUUGACAACUCUAGAGAUAGAGCCUUCCCCUUCGGGGGACAAAGUGACAGGUGGUGCAUGGUUGUCGUCAGCUCGUGUCGUGAGAUGUUGGGUUAAGUCCCGCAACGAGCGCAACCCUUAAGCUUAGUUGCCAUCAUUAAGUUGGGCACUCUAAGUUGACUGCCGGUGACAAACCGGAGGAAGGUGGGGAUGACGUCAAAUCAUCAUGCCCCUUAUGAUUUGGGCUACACACGUGCUACAAUGGACAAUACAAAGGGCAGCGAAACCGCGAGGUCAAGCAAAUCCCAUAAAGUUGUUCUCAGUUCGGAUUGUAGUCUGCAACUCGACUACAUGAAGCUGGAAUCGCUAGUAAUCGUAGAUCAGCAUGCUACGGUGAAUACGUUCCCGGGUCU
rnacentral:rRNA from 1 species